ACGGGUGUAGCUCAAUUGGCAGAGCAGCUGAUUCCAAAUCAGCAGGUUAGGGGUUCAAGUCCUCUCACCCGUG
rnacentral:tRNA from 1 species